AGCUUUGCGCAGUGGCUGUAUCGUAGCCAAUGAGGUUUAUCCAAGGUGUGAUUAUUGCUAAUUGAAAACUUUUCCCAAUACCCCGCUGUGACGACUUGCAAUAUAGUCAGCAUUGGCAAUUUUUGACAGUCUCUGUGGAGA
ensembl:snRNA U4 U4 spliceosomal RNA